rnacentral:rRNA from 1 species
GACGAACGCUGGCGGCGUGCUUAACACAUGCAAGUCGAACGGAAAGGCCCUGCUUUUGUUGGGUGCUCGAGUGGCGAACGGGUGAGUAACACGUGAGUAACCUGCCCUUGACUUUGUGAUAACUUCAGGGAACUGGGGCUAAUACCGGAUAGGAUCUCCUGCUGCAUGGUGGGGGUUGGAAAGAUUCGGCCGUGGGGGAUGGACUAGCGGCUUAUCAGCUUGUUGGGGGGGUAGUGGCUUACCAAGGGUUUGACGGGUAGCCGGCCUGAGAGGGUUACCGGCGACAUUGGGACUGAGAGACGGCGCAGUAGCCUAUGGGAGGCAGCAGUGGGGAGUAUUGCACAAUGGGCGGAAGCCUGAUGCAGCAGCGCUGCGUGCGGGAUGACGGCUUUUGGGUUAUGAACCGAUUUGGCCUGUGACGAAGAGUGAGUGACGGUAAUGGGUAAAGAAGCACCGGCUAACUACGUG